rnacentral:tRNA from 1 species
GCGUACGUGCGUGGACGGCACGGGCGGCUUGACCUGCGACGACGCACUUCGGUGGACGUCUAUGGACCGCCUUCCCGGGACUACGGAUCAAGAGGUUGCAGGUUCGAGUCCUGCCGAGCGCA